UCUACGGGAGGCAGCAGUGGGGGAUAUUGCACAAUGGGGGAAACCCUGAUGCAGCGACGCCGCGUGUGGGAAGACUGUCCUCUGGAUUGUAAACCACUGUCCUCAGGGACGAAGAUGACGGUACCUGGGGAGGAAGCUCCGGCUAACUACGUGCAAGCAGCCGCGGUAAUACGUAGGGAGCACGGGUUGUCCGGAAUUACUGGGUGUAAAGGGAGCGUAAGCGGGAUUGAAAGUUGUGGGUGAAGUCUACCGGCUAAACUGAUAGUGGCACUCGAAACUGCGAUUCUUGAGUGAAGUAGAGGCAGGCGGAAUUCCUGGUGUAGCGGUGAAAUGCGUAGAUAUUAGGAGGAACACCAGUGGCGAAGGCGGCCUGCUGAGCUUUUACUGACGCUGAGGCUCGAAAGUGUGGGGAGCAAACAGGAUUAGAUACCCCAGUAGUC
rnacentral:rRNA from 1 species